rnacentral:rRNA from 1 species
ACGUAGGGUGCGAGCGUUGUCCGGAUUUAUUGGGCGUAAAGAGCUCGUAGGCGGCUUGUCGCGUCGACUGUGAAAACCCGCAGCUCAACUGCGGGCCUGCAGUCGAUACGGGCAGGCUAGAGUUCGGUAGGGGAGACUGGAAUUCCUGGUGUAGCGGUGAAAUGCGCAGAUAUCAAGAGGAACACCAGUGGCGAAGGCGAGUCCCUGGACAACACCUGACACUGAGGCACGAAAGCUAGGGGAGCAAACAGGA